UUUGUAACAGAAGUAUUAAAUAUCUAAAGCUAAAAUUUAUGAUGCUUUACAAAAAUCAAAGUGUACUUCCUCCUGGUUACUUCUUCAGAAUACAAUUUUGUGGUUAGGAGCUGGCUGUCUAAGAGUUUAAAACUGCAAGACUAAAACAUUAGUAUUCCUGCUUCCUGCCACUUUUAUAUUCUAUUUCGCUGAGUUUUUAUAAAGGCAGUGGAUAAACUUGUUGGUCUUCCAGAUUUGUUAGCCGUAAUUAUAUAUCAGACUUGCUGCAAGAUAUCUUGAAUUGCUGGCUAAAUAAAACCAAAAUGGUAGUCAAUUCUUUUGCGACUGUCUUUUGCUCUCCUUCAGGGCCUUGUUAAACUGAUUGAAGGGUUUGGCUGCUUGAACGCAGGCAUUAUAAAAACUCACUGUCCCAGCUUUGUUAUCCAGAAACAAUUAAAAUAGCACCAAGACUACAGAUGAGAAUUAUUCCGUCACUUGUAUGCUGAGGAGAGCAUCUCCUGUAUCUGAAAUCACUGGCCCUGCUUUGUCACCCGGCAGCAAUGAAAACAGCACCCUGGAUUAAAACAAGAAUAAUUAAGUCAUUCAUCUGCAGAGGAGAGUGUAAGAAAGCCUCGAGAUACAUACAGAGUGAAGAAUGCGAGACCUAAGAGCGCAGCUGACAAGCAGCCUGCUGCGGUUCCCAGAGGGGACUCUUCAGGCACUCGUGAAACAUGAGGUCACCCAAGGUUCCAUGCUGCGCAGGAAAUUUUCUGGAGGGCUAAGUGACCUAGCACAGCUGUCACGUGCUCCUCACCUCGAGAUAGUGAACUCGGUGACAGGGCAGCGGCUCUCUGCAUACUAUUUCAGAGGAGCGCACGAACAGCCUCCCACUAUCUGAGUGGUGAAGGAGUUUUUGUGGGAGAAAAGAACUGGACUGAUGAUUGCUUUGGAAGAAGAGAGGGAAGUGUUCUGUGCCUGUAUGACCUUGAAACAUCAAGAGUGGUUAAAGCAGUUGUUCUUCCCGCAAGGAGCUACAGAACCACCAGCCAAGAGACGUCCUCCCUCGAAUGUGGAGUUGUGCAAUACAUUUCUUAUGACACCAACUACAAAAUGGUCAUGACAAUGUCUGACGACAUGGAGUAG